AGGUUUUGCUGCAUUCCAUAUAGCAAUAUUGGUGUUGUGCUCUGUUGCAAUGUUAAUUGCAGUGGGAUUUUGUGGACCUGUUUGUAUCCUGCUAAGAAAGAAAGUUGCUAGCAAAGAGGGCAUAAAAAGGCACAUUUUUCUGAUCCUCUGUCCAAACAUCUGCAUGUUUUUGAGUUUCUGCUUGUGGUCAUCAGAAGGGUUUCUCGCUGAGAUCAUCACUUGUUCAGCUGUCAGUAUCAUGAGGCCUGUCAUAUUGUUAAAAACCUCUUCCUAUCUCAGCACUUUACCACG